UCCAACUUCAACCAGAAAAACGAAGCCCUAAAAAUAUUACUGGAGCUACUCUUGCUUUUCGCUUCGUAGCCGGAGUGGACUAAUGGAGUCAGUGAAGAGGGGAUAUUCUGCAGAAAUAUCAUGAUACUGGCAAUAAGUUUAAUAAUACCUAUUUAAUCGGCUUGAAUGUUCAGACGAUAGCAUUGUCUUCCUUAAGGCAAACUACAAAAAUGCUUGCAAUCUGAGAUUGUAAUUGGAUAAAUUCAGGCAGAUAAUCAGUAAUGCUAAGUCCACUCUAUCUUCUAGCAAUCUCAGUAGAAGUUUUACUAUGGGAAUGGCUAGGGAUUUCAAGGUUCAGGUGGCCAAGGCUCCGGGUAAGUACCUUGGCAUUCCUUUACAGUGGGGAAGAAUUUCUGAGAAAACUGUCUUUGAAUUACAGGAAAAGUUGAGUAAUAGAAUGACUGACUGGAAGUUGAAAUCCUUGAGCAUAGCUGGUAGGUGUAUUUUGAUUUAGUUUGUUCCUGAUCAUGUUUCUUACCAUGUUAUGUCUAUGUUAAAAUUGCCUAAAAGAUUGAUGAAUAAGAUUGUUAAGUUUAGGAGAAACUUUU